rnacentral:rRNA from 1 species
UAGUCCACGCCGUAAACGAUGAGAACUAGCCGUUGGGCUCCUUGAGGGCUUAGUGGCGUAGCUAACGCGAUAAGUUCUCCGCCUGGGGAGUACGGCCGCAAGGUUAAAACUCAAAUGAAUUGACGGGGGCCCGCACAAGCGGUGGAGCAUGUUGUUUAAUUCGAUGCAAUGCGAAGAACCUUACCACCCCUUGACAUCCUCGGAACUUGUCAGAAAUGACUCGGCGCCUUCGGGAACUGAGAGACAGGUGCUGCAUGGCUGUCGUCAGCUCGUGUCGUGAGAUGUUGGGUUAAGUCCCGUAACGAGCGCAACCCUUGUCCCUAUUUGCCAGCGGGUUAUGCCGGGAACUCUAGGGAGACUGUCGGUGACAAACCGGAGGAAGGUGGGGAUGAUGUCAAGUCAUCAUGGCCCUUACGGGGUGGGCUACAAACGUGCUACAAUGGCGGAUACAAAGGGAUGCAAUGGUGCGAGCCGGAGCGAACCCCAAAAAGUCCGUACGCAGUUCGGAUUGGAGUCUGC